AUGGACGGGAGCAGGAGAAUUCUCUUCCUGGUGGCAGUGGCUGCAGGUGUGAACUCCCAGGUACAGCUGGUGCAGUCAGGGGCUGAGGUGGGAAAACCUGGGACAUCAGUGAAGGUCUCCUGCAAGAUGUCCGGAUACACCUUCACUGAGUACUAUAUACAAUGGGUGCGGCAGGCCCCGGGACAGGGGUUUGAGUGGAUGGGAGCACUAAAACCUAGCAAUGGUGAUACAGGCUACGCACCGAAGUUCCAGGACAGACUCACAGUCACUGCAGACAAGUCCAAGGACACAGCCUACAUGGAACUGAGCAGGUUGAGCACUGAGGACACGGCCAUGUAUUACUGUGCAAGACACACAGUGUGA